CGAACGGGUGAGUAAUGCAUCGGAACGUGCCCAGUCGUGGGGGAUAACUGCUCGAAAGAGCAGCUAAUACCGCAUACGACCUGAGGGUGAAAGCGGGGGACCGUAAGGCCUCGCGCGAUUGGAGCGGCCGAUGUCAGAUUAGCUAGUUGGUGGGGUAAAGGCCUACCAAGGCAACGAUCUGUAGUUGGUCUGAGAGGACGACCAGCCACACUGGGACUGAGACACGGCCCAGACUCCUACGGGAGGCAGCAGUGGGGAAUUUUGGACAAUGGGCGCAAGCCUGAUCCAGCAAUGCCGCGUGCAGGAAGAAGGCCUUCGGGUUGUAAACUGCUUUUGUCAGGGAAGAAAUCUUCUGGGCUAAUACCCCGGGAGGAUGACGGUACCUGAAGAAUAAGCACCGGCUAACUACGUGCCAGCAGCCGCGGUAAUACGUAGGGUGCGAGCGUUAAUCGGAAUUACUGGGCGUAAAGCGUGCGCAGGCGGUUAUGUAAGA
rnacentral:rRNA from 1 species